rnacentral:rRNA from 1 species
UACGUAGGGCGCAAGCGUUGUCCGGAAUUAUUGGGCGUAAAGAGCUCGUAGGCGGUUUGUCGCGUCUGCUGUGAAAACCUAGGGCUUAACCCUGGGCCUGCAGUGGGUACGGGCAGACUAGAGUGCGGUAGGGGAGACUGGAAUUCCUGGUGUAGCGGUGAAAUGCGCAGAUAUCAGGAGGAACACCGGUGGCGAAGGCGGGUCUCUGGGCCGUAACUGACGCUGAGGAGCGAAAGCAUGGGGAGCGAACAGG